GCCCGCAUGGCACAGUUGGCUAGCGCGCGACACUAGUAUACAUAGUACAUGUCGAGGUCAGUCGUUCAAAUCGGCUUGUGGGCA